rnacentral:misc_RNA from 1 species
CGCACCUUGCGCCCCUUGGUAUUCCGAGGGGCAUGCCUGUUUGAGUGUCAUUAAAUUCUCAACCUCAUAAACUUUUGUUUAUUGAGGAUUGGAUGUGAGGGCUUGCUGGCUUGUAACAGAGUCAGCUCCCUUGAAAUGCAUUAGUGGACUUUAGCCGUUUUUGUGGGCCACAUUGGUGUGAUAAUUAUCUACGCCUCUAUGACUUGCAGUUUGGAGGGUUGCAAUGUAACAAUUGCUCUCUCUGUUUAAGCUAUCCGCUUCAAACCGUCCUAAGUUACUGGACAAUUUGACUUGUUUGACCUCAAAUCAGGUAGGACUACCCGCUGAACUUAA